rnacentral:rRNA from 1 species
UACAGAGGGUGCAAGCGUUAAUCGGAAUUACUGGGCGUAAAGCGCGUGUAGGCGGUUGUUCAAGUCGGGUGUGAAAGCCUUGAGCUCAACUCAAGAAAUGCACUCGAUACUGGAUGACUAGAGGACCGGAGAGGAUAGUGGAAUUCCCAGUGUAGUGGUGAAAUACGUAGAGAUUGGGAAGAACACCAGUGGCGAAGGCGGCUAUCUGGACGGUUUCUGACGCUAAGACGCGAAAGCGUGGGGAGCAAACAGG